UACGUAGGGAGCAAGCGUUGUCCGGAAUCAUUGGGCGUAAAGUGCGCGUAGGCGGCCCUGUAAGUCCGUUGUGAAAGUCAAAGGCUCAACCUUUGAAAGCCGAUGGAUACUGCAGGGCUAGAGUCCGGAAGAGGCGAGUGGAAUUCCUGGUGUAGCGGUGGAAUGCGUAGAUAUCAGGAGGAACACCUGUGGCGAAAGCGGCUCACUGGACCAUAACUGACGCUGAUGCACGAAAGCUAGGGGAGCAAACAGG
rnacentral:rRNA from 1 species